AGAGUUUGAUCAUGGCUCAGGAUAAACGCUGGCGGCGUGCCUAACACAUGCAAGUCGAACGCGUCCGAGGGGGCAACUCUUCGGAUGAGUGGCGGACGGGUGAGGAACACGUGGGUUAUCUGCCUUGAGGUGAGGAAUACCGGCGAGAAAUCGCCGACAAUACCGCAUACGUUUGGAGACAAACAAAGCCGAGCAAUCGGCGCCACAAGAUGAGCCUGCGGCCGAUUAGGCUAGUUGGUGGGGUAAAAGCCUACCAAGGCGACGAUCGGUAGCUGGUCUGAGAGGACGAUCAGCCACACUGGGAUUGAGAACGGCCCAGACUCCUACGGGGGGCAGCAGUGAGGAAUUUUCGUCAAUGGGGGCAACCCUGAACGAGCAACGCCGCGUGCAGGAAGAAGGUUUUCGGAUCGUAAACUGCUUUUCCCAGGGAAGAGAACGGACGGUACCUGGGGAAGAAGCCCCGGCUAACUACGUGCCAGCAGCCGCGGUAAUACGUAGGGGGCAAGCGUUGUCCGGAUUUAUUGGGCGUAAAGCGCACGCAGGCGGUCAUGUCAGUUUCGAGUGACAGGUGGUGGCUUAACUGCCACAGGCCUCGAAAGACGGCAUGACUUGAGGGCUUGAGAGGGACGCGGAAUUCCAGGUGGAGCGGUGAAAUGCGUAGAGAUCUGGAAGAACACCAAAGGCGAAGGCAGCGUCCUGGCAAGUUCCUAACGCUCAGGUGCGAAAGCUAGGGGAGCGAACGGGAUUAGAUACCCUAGUAGUCC
rnacentral:rRNA from 1 species